rnacentral:rRNA from 1 species
GACGAACCGAGCGAACGUUGUUCGGAAUCACUGGGCUUAAAGGGUGCGUAGGCGGGCUGCCAAGUUUGGGGGGAAAUCCUCCGGCUCAACCGGGGAAGUGCCUUGAAUACUGGCGGUCUCGAGGGAGGUAGGGGCGUGCGGAACUAACGGUGGAGCGGUGAAAUGCGUUGAUAUCGUUAGGAACUCCGGUGGCGAAGGCGGCACGCUGGACCUUUUCUGACGCUGAGGCACGAAAGCCAGGGGAGCGAACGGG